CUAUUACUCCCUCCGUCCGGGAAUACUUGUCAUCAAAAUGAAUAAAAGGGGAUGUAUCUAGAUGUAUUUUAGUUCUAGAUACAUCAUUUUUUAUCCAUGUUGAUGACAAGUAUUUUCGGACGGAGGGAGUACUAC
rfam:Triticum aestivum genome assembly, contig: Triticum_aestivum_CS42_TGACv1_scaffold_499716_6BL